CCCAAUACAGUAUAUAAACAGUAAAUGGAAACAGCUGGGACAUCAUCUAGAAUGAAGUAAGAGAAGCUUAUGCACUUUUAUUAACCCUUACCUUAACUAUAACUAGUUAAUACCUAACCUUAACCCAACCACUAUUUAAAUCUCAGCCAUCAACUUAAUCAGAAAUAAGGUUCUGCCUCAUUAGGACCAGGUUCUGGUCUCCAUGAGGACUACAAAUACUUGUUGCACACUGUAUAACAGCACUACGCCUGGACUUGAUCUGGACUCAUGUGAAGUUGUAGAUCUGGACUAAUGUGAAGAUGUAGAUCUGGACUAAUGUGAAGUUGUAGAUCUGGACUUAUGUAAAGCUGUAGAUCUGGACUAAUGUGAAGGUGUAGAUCUGGACUAAUGUGAAAUUGUGGAUCUGGACUAAUGUGAAGUUGUAGAUCUGGACUAAUGUGAAGUUGUGGAUCUGGUCUUAUGUAAAGGUGUAGAUCUGGACUAAUGUGAAGAUGUGGAUCUGGACUUAUGUAAAGGUGUAGAUCUGGACUAAUGUGAAGUUGUGGAUCUGGACUUAUGUAAAGGUGUAGAUCUGGACUAAUGUGAAAUUGUGGAUCUAGACUAUAUGAAGUUGUAGAUCGGACUAAUGUGAAGUGUUGUGGAUCUGGACUUAUGUAAAGGUGUAGAUCUGGACUAAUGUGAAGUGUUGUGGAUCUGGACUUAUGUAAUGUAGAUCUGGACUAAUGUG